rnacentral:ncRNA from 2 species
GUUUGAUAGGGUUGUCGUGGUUCUCCCCAUCCUCUUCGGAGGGCGUGGAGCUAAGAGGGAAGCCGGUGCGACGCCGGCGCUGCCCCCGCAACUGUAAGCGGCGAGCCGAAGGUCCAUCUCGUGUCACUGACGUCCUCGGGCGUUGGGAAGGCCGGACCGGAAGCCGUGACCCGUGAGCCAGGAGACCUGCCCCGACAGAUAACGUCCU